UUGAACGCUGGCGGAAUGCUUUACACAUGCAAGUCGCGCGGCAGCGCGGGGGCAACCCUGGCGGCGAGCGGCGAACGGGUGAGUAACACAUCGGAACGUACCCUGUCGUGGGGGAUAACACAUCGAAAGAUGUGCUAAUACCGCAUACGACCUGAGGGUGAAAGCGGGGGAUCGCAAGACCUCGCGCGAUAGGAGCGGCCGAUGUCGGAUUAGCUAGUUGGUGAGGUAAAGGCUCACCAAGGCGACGAUCCGUAGCUGGUCUGAGAGGACGACCAGCCACACUGGAACUGAGACACGGUCCAGACUCCUACGGGAGGCAGCAGUGGGGAAUUUUGGACAAUGGGGGCAACCCUGAUCCAGCCAUUCCGCGUGAGUGAAGAAGGCCUUCGGGUUGUAAAACUCGUUCAGCCGGAAAGAAAUCGCGCAGGCUAAUACUCUGCGUGGAUGACGGUACCGGAAGAAGAAGCACCGGCUAACUACGU
rnacentral:rRNA from 1 species